rnacentral:pre_miRNA from 1 species
UCUUCUGAAUGAGCAAAGAAAGUGGCUUCUUGAGAGGGAAUCUAUUCUUGGUGAAGAUGCUGUGAG